rnacentral:lncRNA from 1 species
CACCUCCUAAGCAAACACCCAGUGCUAUGUAGGAUCAAAAAUUCAUAAUCUUUAACAGGUUGAAACUAUUUAUUAUAUUUUACUUGACUCAUGUUAUUUUCAUGCAAAAUUUAUCGUUAUAUUCCAACGUGAAUCCUUCGGAGCCCCCAGAUGGAGUUUUAUGUGACUAGUGAUGUGACUAUCGAUCCUUAGAGGGUAGAUCCUUAUGGGAAGUCGGCUCGUCCCCCGGUUGAUGAAUUAAAUAGAGAUUAACCACUCAACUUGCCACCGAGGCUUGAUUUUACUUGAAGUAGAUCAGGCUCGAUGCAAAGCUCCUCAGGCC